rnacentral:rRNA from 1 species
UACGGAGGGUGCAAGCGUUAUCCGGAUUCACUGGGUUUAAAGGGUGCGUAGGUGGGCUAGUAAGUCAGUGGUGAAAUCUCCGGGCUUAACCCGGAAACUGCCAUUGAUACUAUUAGUCUUGAAUACCAUGGAGGUGAGCGGAAUAUGUCAUGUAGCGGUGAAAUGCUUAGAUAUGACAUAGAACACCAAUUGCGAAGGCAGCUCGCUACGCGGUUAUUGACACUGAGGCACGAAAGCGUGGGGAGCAAACAGG